GGAUGGGGCCUGAGGAAGCCUGAUCUAGUGAGUGGCAGCCCUGCUCUCAAUGGUGGGUUGGAACUGGAUGGGCUUCGAGGUCCUUUCCAAUACAAGUCAUGAUUCUGUGAAUAGCAUUCCCUUUUCAUUGGACGCAGUGAAUACAAACUGCAAGACACCCUCCCAGAGGUGUGUGCUGCUUUGCAGGCAGUUUCACCUUGUAUCUAGCUCAAAUUAUCAGGGCAAUAUUUCAAACCAAAGAGUACAGCAGGAAUAUCAUGAGCUGAUGCAAUCGCACUUUGCAUUUACAGCUCAGCUUGGCAGAUCCAUGGGCAGCAGGAUAUACUGUAAGUGGUUAGAGCAAAUUCAAGUUCUUGUUUGAAAGCAGCUGUGUUUUUUUUAAACAGUUCCCAAAUACAGGUGCUGGAUAAAGACUAUUCCUGUGACAGGUGAAUCUUUCGUUUGAUGGUGGAUUAUGCUUUUACAAGUGUCAGCUCAUUUUCUCGCUAGUACAGCAUUUUUCAUACCAGUUACAAAAACGCAUUUAGUGCUUUCCUGUGACCCGUUCUUUGUGACUCCCUGACAGAGAGGUCUCAUUCAGCUGUCAUUCAAGUGAUUCAAGUGGACGCAGGGCCACCUCCCUGAGAUACAUUCAGGCUUCCUUAAUAUGUAUUUACAAAAAGCUUUUGAGUGCUUCCCAAGGAGGGCCAGAGAGGCAGGUCAACCCUUCAAUGAGCAGGAAAAUGAGAGCCAAUACUCCCAGCCCUCCUGGCUUUCUUAGCCAGCAAUGCUUGAACCUCAGUAUGAAACCCAACAUCCUCUGGAAAACAUGGUUGAGACAGAGAAGGGAGGAAGGAGAUCAGGCAACGGGCUGGGACACAAGCGGUGAAGACUGAUGUCGCUGUUGAAUAAUCAGUAUUUGCUGUGUUUGGAUGAUUUGUUCAAACAGCUGGUUUUAGUGAAUCAGAUCAUAGUUUUGUGCAUGCUCUUGCAUAUAUUUUUGUCCUCCCACAAAGAGGAAACAUCCAAAUUUCCCAGAAUCACACCACUAGGAAUUAACUGGAAUUUGACAGUCGCAAGUUAGAAAGAGCCAAGAAUUCUUCUCUCCAUUAGAAAUCCAAGCAUCUGCUGAAAUAAGCAUGAGAUUUCUACUACUAAGUGGAGAUAUUUCUAGAUAAUGGCAACGUUAGGAACAACCCCACAAGUGAGGUAAUUCUACUAAAGUGCUUAAAAAAUAAUUAAAAAAGGCAUCCUGCUACGCAGUCAGAAGCUGGGCUGUGGGGGGCACUGUCCUACAAGAAGGGGUGAUGCCCCUAAGCCAGACCCAGCAGAGGCCUAUUUACUUUGCAACACUGGGCAGUUCCCCUCCUGGCCCGGGACAGCCAACAGUCCCGCAGCAGCAGCAGGAGAUAAGGUCAGUUUUGCACUGACCACCCACGCUACAGGGCAGCUGGAAAGAUGGGGACAGCAUGGUUUCAAAAGUUAUUCAUUGGUUUUCCGCAUGGGUGCCAAGAUCUGUGCUGCUGAAAGCUGAGCAACUGAGUGUUCGUCUCUCCCUUUACAGGAUUGUUAUAAAAUAAUUUCCCCCUGUGACCAGUUUAGGCUGUUCUAAUGCACACUCAGAAAUGAGGCAUUGACUUUUAAAGAUCUUCCUGCCCUUAGGGUGACAGAUGAAAGAACAGGUCACAGCUUUGUUCUGCUGCAACGUGUCUGAAAGUGUUCAGAGGCAUGCUUUCAUUACAGCAAAAUUUCCACUGUCUCAUUGUUUUUUUGCAAGUUUGCAACCUACCUGUAGAGUAUAAAGGAACUGCUGGGAUGACCAAAACAGCUAUGAGACAUGAAUUUGCUCAUGUCAUUUAGGCAGCAAUAGCCAUCUCUUGGCAGCCGUGUCUGUUGAAGAGAGUACAGUGGCUUCCACCUGUAACGUGAACCUGGUGGCAUUUCUCAGCAGCUCAGCAGGCGUGCCCAAGCCCAGGAUAACAUCAAUUAAUUUAAUAAGCCAGAAUAUUGUCUUUACAAAGUAAAGUCAUCUGUUUAAGAGAAGUCCAAGGACGGUGCUUAGAUCACUUCGGUUGCUUGAGCAUACUGCUGCUUUAUCUCUGCCUUCGACUUUUGUCCCCAAUUUAAUACCACUGUUUUUAUGAGCCUGCAGUAACCAGCGGAAUCAAUUAAUUUAGAAGUUCCAGAUAACAAGGAAUUUGUUCUGCAGUAAAAAGGUCUCCAGUGAAGACUAAAAUGUUAGAGGCCCAGAGUGUGCAGCAAUUAGCAAUUUUUUUAUAAUGAGUGAGAAUGGAAAGGAGAAAAGCAAGAGUGAAAGAAGAAGAAAUACUUAUUACUUCAUUCUCUAGCAUUAACGUCCCAGUGCAUAUUAAGGCUGCAUUUUCCAUAGGAACAUCUUGGAUUCACUUGUCUAUCGUUUCCUAAACAUCUAAGCAUUAUACCAAAAUUUUCAUGCCGAGUGUUCUGGAAGAGCUAAAGUGAACACGAUUCGGGAUGUUUCCAAGAACAAGUCUGAAAAAAAAUACAUUUUCCCUCAUUUCCAGCACAUCUGCCAGGGUUUCUUGUUGCUUUUUUGUUUUUGUUUCUUGUCUGAGACACCUCAUUUCCCUCGAGCCACACAAACUGCAAGUGUAACUUUUGUAGCUUUUGACAUUUGUGUGGGUCUUAGGAUUCAGCAGACAAAAAGCCAUCUCCCAAUCAUCCCUUGAAAGCCCUCUCAGAGCAUGCUCCAUCUCCUUGCAGCUGCCAGGCUUUCUGCAGGUGGUGGCCAAGCGUGCUCCCCCUGCAAGUCACUGCAUCAUGUUGUGAAAUGGGGUACUGAGCUGGCAGGGAAGCAGUGCUUUUUUCAGUUAGUGCGAUGACCACCAUGCUGGUAUUGAAGCAGAAGAAGCAGAUGUGAAAGCCAGUCCUAAAGGGAAGGAGUAAAUCUGAUCGAAGAAUGUGUUGUGUCUUGGGCUGGAAUAGCUAGAGAAGGAGGGAGGAUGGAGAACUUCGUUUUCUGAGUGAGGAUAGAAUGGAUUAAGCUACCAAGGAUUCAGCUGCUGGGAAAAAGGUAAGGUGCUGCUUGUUUUCAAGGGUCUGGGAAAAAGUGGGAAAUGAGAGAAACAUGGGUAGAAAAAUAUCCUGGUGGCACAUGUUGCCCUCUGCAGUCUGGGAGGGAACGCAGAGGCACCUUCUCUCAUCUUGUCUGCUCCCAGCACGUGGAUUUGACAUCAAGGCUGUUCAGCAGCACAGUGACCUCUGCUUACAGCCACCCUUACCUUGGACAGUUGGAGGGGGCACAAUUGCCUCUGCCAAUCCCUGGAAGACGUUCCUGUGGUUGAUCUAACUCUAAUAAGCUUUGGAGGGACCUUGGAGAUGUACACAUCAUGGUAUCCUUGCUACGUCGACUUUGCUUUAAAACAAACCAGCCAGGAUCCUAAAAACAGCAUGCCAUAAUCUGUGCCAAAAAGUCUCUGAAAUCAAGAACUCAGAAGUUAAGGGAGCCUGGAAUUUAAACAAUUUGUGCAAACUUAAUUUGGCUUUCUACAGCAUGUAUGAUUCUGUGGAAAACAGCCCUGGAAGGGACCUUAAGGAGCCAGCUGGGGAUUCCAGCCCAUCUCUUUGCCCUGAGGCAGGACCAAUUAUUCCUAGACCAUUCUUGACAAAUGUUUUUCUAAUCUUCUCUUUCGAGGCAGACGUUAAUGACAUGAUCGCAUACUUUUUUCUUAAUGGGAUCCUGCCUCAGUGCAUAAAAUAAACCAGGACUGUGCCAUGAAGGAGACUGGGAACUCAGCAGGAGAAAGGACAGUUUGUGGUUCAUCUUGCUGGAUACUGCUCUGGAGAACUGCCUUUGCUUCUGAGUUCCUGGGUGGCCAUUUAAAUCAGACUUCUCCCAGGCAGUCAUUAAUUCCAUUUUCACUAUUUUCUGGGUGCUCAGCUUGAAAAUAUUGCCUCUGACUUAAUUGCCCCUGUUUGGCACAUUGUCUUGAUGCAGUACUAGCGCUUUAACUUUACUGCUUCCAGCACACAACCAGCCCAGCCCAUAUUGUCAUAGACUGGGAAACCCAACUGAAAUUCUUUCGUGCAGUACUCAGCACUGGCUGUCAUAACUCACUUGUCUCCCACUUCUUAUCUGACCUUGCCCUGUGUGCUCUGCCAGCCUCCAUCUGCCCACACUUUGCAUAUUCUGCUGAAAGCACCCGUAUCAAAUCUCAGCCAUGAGUGAUGAUCCCCAAAUCUUGUAUUUUAAGGACAGUUCUGUCUGUUUUAUUAAGUUCAAGAUUCACCAUAAUCACCUCAUCCUCAGAGGUAUAUGUACUCUGUAUAGCUAAUAAUAUCGGUAAUACCUGUAAUUACCUCAAGGAAAAAUCAAGUUUAGCAAAAUGCAUAAGAACUGACACCAUAAAGGGCCUUCUUUCCUGAGUAGGAGAGCUGCUUGAUGUUCACAAGAACAACACAGGUCUCUCUCUGCAGAGCUUCCUUCCAAACUGCUGGUGCCCAGUAUGUAUUUGGUCAUGGAGCUGUUCCUCCUCAGGUGCAGAACUCUUGAACUUUAUAGAUUGCUCUCUGCCCAAUACCCAGCCUGUUCAGUUCCUUCUGAAUGGCAGCCCGCACCUCCUCCCAGCUUUGUAUGAUGUACAAAAUUGUUUCAGGUGUACUCCACCCCAUCAUUCAGAUCUUUGCUGAAGAUAUUGAGCAGUAAAAGGCCUGAUACUGACCCCUAGGACGUACCGCUAAUGACUGUCCUCCAGCUAGACUUUGUGCUACUUAUUAUGAUGCUCCAGUUCUGGACAUUCAGCCACUUUUUGACCCACCCCACUCUUCACUAAUCUAACCCAUGCUUCGCUGAGUGCUCUAUAGGGGUGUUAUGGGAGAUAGUGUAAAAAGACCUACUAAACUUGAAGUAAAUGACAUCCACUCUUCUCUAUUCAUCCACCAUGCCAGUCAACUCGUUGUAGGAAGCUGUCAGGUUGAUUGAGCCUGAUUUCACCUUUGUAAAUCCACGUUGGCUGCUCCCAGUCACCUUCUUUGCUCUUCAUGAGUCUAGAAACAGAUUCCAUUAGUUGUUGCUUCAUUACCUUUUCAGAAACUAAGGUGAGGCUGACCAGCCUGUAGUUCCCCAGUGCCUCCUUCUUGCCCAUCCUGAAAACAGGAGUGACAUGGAGCUGUGUCUGGAGAUGGUCAGACUGGGGGGCUAUGAAAAGGUCCUUCACCAGUGAGUGGUAGGACCCUGGAACAGGCUGCCCAGGGCAGUGGGCAUGGCCCCAAGCUGCCAGAGUUCAAGGAGCACUUGGAUACCACUCUUAGAAAUAGGAUUUGGAUUUUGGAUGGUGCUAUGUGGGGCUAAGAGUUGGAUUCGCUGAUCUUUAUUGGUUCCCUCCAACUCAGGAUGUUCUAUGAUUCUGUUGUAAUUUGCAUGCCUCCAGGCCUCAAGAACCUUUCUUGAUCUGCAUGAUCUUUCAAAGCAUGGCCUUGCAGUGACAUCAGCCAGCUUCCUCAGCACUUAUGGAGCCCCUCUCAGGGAUCUGGAAUUGCCAAAAUACGGUGUCACAAGUCAAAGAUUCUUCCUGGGUCACUUCACCCUGCUUUUACCUUCUGUGCACUUCCUUUUCAUGCCAGACUUCAGACAGGGGCCUCUUGUUCAUCCACACAGGCCUCCCGCCGCCUUCGCUUGAUCUCCUUCUUGACAGGAUGAAUCACUCAGGAGCUCAGAAGAGUGAGUAGGAGCAACCUUAAACUUCUCCAGAGCACCGGUGGAGAGGACUUCCAUAGAUGGGUGCAUCAGCCUGCAUCAUGAGUCACCAAUGUUUUCCAUGUGUCGCAAUGUUCCUGUGAACCUACACUGGACAGCUUGGCUUGUUCUACCGUGCUGCAAAAUUGGGAAACGGAAGCUGUCCGUAUCUCCUGUUACAUGACUGUGUUCAGAUCGCCUGGCUCUAUUGACUCUAGCGAAUCUACCUGGUGUCCUACAAGGCCUAGGUGCGCCCACGCACACCCAGAUCAGCAAAACAUCAGCUGGUCUCUGAAGCAAUUGUUGGUGAUGACAUGUUUUGUGACAGGAAAUCAUUGCAAAACGCUCGGUUCUCAGGACUGAAAGUGUCUGUCCUGCUCAGAAAAAUAAACGCAACCGGUACAUUCUAAACAUAGAUUCACGUGGAUUUUGUUCUGGGAUAGAAAUCCAAACCAAUCUUUGGGGUUUAUUGUCUAAUAAUUAAUGCCUGAGCAGUUGGAGAACCUCUGGUUUUCCACUAGAAAAAAAGAGAAAAGUUGAAGUUCAACUAUAGCCAUCGACUCUGCCUGUGCCAAUUAACCAAGAGACAAACCACUGCAGUAUCAUGCUAUUUUUUUAUAAUUCAGUUGGCAAUAUUAAGGAACUGGAUGCAAAAGUGGGAGAUCUAUCAGCAUCGGUUUGAAUCACCAGUGUAUCAAAGUGCAAAGAAACCUCGAAUGAUUUCACCCUUAUCAGCCAAACGGAAAUAUAAAACACUACCCUCCUGCCCUCUUACCACGGCUGAUGUUGGAAUGACACAGCAAUAGCUGCAAGAUAAGUAAACAAAAAGGCAACAGGAAAAUUUCUUGCUGAUUAAUUGAAGAGGAAACAGAGGAGAAAGAAAAAGCAGGAAUUCCCUGUGCAGGAACAUGUCUACUGGCUGCUCGUGAAUGUUGGAGCAGAUCUAUACAGCGUACUCUUAAGGUGAUUGGAUUUGAAUUUGAUGGUGAUACAUGAAAUGUAAGUAGACAAAUUAGACAAACAAAAAAGGCUCUCCACCAUUGCUACUGAGCUUUUAAAAGCUUUGUUCUCCCCAGAAAUAGUACCGAUUUUCUAAUUCACUGCCACCUUAUGGCAUUUUGGAGAGAUAACACUUCAGUAAUUUCCAUCAGAUGCUUCACGUUUCCAG
ensembl:lncRNA